UACGUAGGGUGCGAGCGUUAAUCGGAAUUACUGGGCGUAAAGUGUGUGCAGGCGGCAGAGCAAGUCGAGUGUGAAAGCCCCGGGCUUAACUUGGGAAUUGCGCUCGAAACUACUUUGCUGGAGUGUGGCAGAGGAAGGUGGAAUUCCACGUGUAGCGGUGAAAUGCGUAGAGAUGUGGAGGAACACCAAUGGCGAAGGCAGCCUUCUGGGCCAACACUGACGCUCAUGCACGAAAGCGUGGGGAGCAAACAGG
rnacentral:rRNA from 1 species